rnacentral:rRNA from 1 species
CCUACGGGUGGCAGCAGUGAGGAAUAUUGGUCAAUGGUCGUAAGACUGAACCAGCCAAGUAGCGUGCAGGAUGACGGCCCUAUGGGUUGUAAACUUCUUUUAUGCGGGGAUAAAAUGCGUCACGUGUGCUGUUUUGUAUGUACCUCAUGAAUAAGGACCGGCUAAUUCCGUGCCAGCAGCCGCGGUAAUACGGAAGGUCCGGGCGUUAUCCGGAUUUAUUGGGUUUAAAGGGAGCGUAGUCCGCAUGUUAAGCGUGCGGUGAAAUGCCGUGGCUCAACCAUGCAACUGCGAAGCGUACUGGCUGGCUUGAGUACGCGGAAGGUAGGCGGAAUGCGUGGUGUAGCGGUGAAAUGCUUAGAUAUCACGAAGAACUCCGAUUGAGAAGGCAGCAUACGGAAGCGCUACUGACGCUGAAGCUCGAAGGUGCGGGUAUCGAACAGGAUUAGAUACCCGAGUAGUC